GAUGAACGCUGGCGGCGUGCCUAAUACAUGCAAGUCGAGCGAACAGACGAGGAGCUUGCUCCUCUGACGUUAGCGGCGGACGGGUGAGUAACACGUGGAUAACCUACCUAUAAGACGGGGAUAACUUCGGGAAACCGGAGCUAAUACCGGAUAAUAUAUUGAACCGCAUGGUUCAAUAGUGAAAGACGGUUUUGCUGUAACUUAUAGAUGGAUCCGCGCCUCAUUAGCUAGUUGGUAAGGUAACGGCUUACCAAGGCAACGUUGAGAAGCCGACCUGAGGGGUGGACCGCCCAAACGGGACCUGAGACCCGGCCCAGAUCCCUAGGGGAGGAGGCAGAAGGGAAUCUUCCGCAAUGGGCGAAAGCCUGACGGAGCAACGCCGCGUGAGUGAUGAAGGUCUUCGGACCUUAAAACUUUGUUAUUAGGGAAGAACAAAUGUGUAAGUAACUAUGCACGUCUUGACGGUACCUAAUCAGAAAGCCACGGCUAACUACGUG
rnacentral:rRNA from 1 species